GAGGGUAUAGUUCAGUGGUAGAGUGCAUGCUUCUUAGCAGGCAUGAGGUCCUGGGUUCAAUCCCUAGUAUCUCCA
rnacentral:tRNA from 1 species